AGAGUUUGAUCCUGGCUCAGGAUGAACGCUAGCGACAGGCUUAACACAUGCAAGUCGAGGGGCAGCGAGGGCGUAGCAAUACGCCUGUCGGCGACCGGCGCACUGGUGAGUAACACGUAUGCGACCUGCCCCCUACAGGGGUAUAACCCGUAGAAAUGCGGACUAAUCCCCCAUAGUCCCGUUGGCUGCAUGGCCAUCGGGGGAAAGGGUUUCCGGUAGGGGAUGGGCAUGCGGCGCAUUAGCUAGUUGGCGGGGCAACGGCCCACCAAGGCGACGAUGCGUAGGGGUUCUGAGAGGAAGGUCCCCCACACUGGUACUGAGACACGGACCAGACUCCUACGGGAGGCAGCAGUGAGGAAUAUUGGUCAAUGGGCGCAGGCCUGAACCAGCCAAGUCGCGUGAGGGAAGACGGUCCUACGGAUUGUAAACCUCUUUUGUCGGGGAGUAACGUGCGGGACGCGUCCCGUAUUGAGAGUACCCGAAGAAAAAGCAUCGGCUAACUCCGUGCCAGCAGCCGCGGUAAUACGGAGGAUGCGAGCGUUAUCCGGAUUUAUUGGGUUUAAAGGGUGCGCAGGCGGCGCGCCAAGUCAGCGGUCAAAGUUCCGGGCUCAACCCGGUGUCGCCGUUGAAACUGGCGUGCUCGAGUGCGUGCGAGGAAGGCGGAAUGCGUUGUGUAGCGGUGAAAUGCAUAGAUAUGACGCAGAACUCCGAUUGCGAAGGCAGCUUUCCAGCGCGCUACUGACGCUGAGGCACGAAAGCGUGGGGAUCGAACAGGAUUAGAUACCCUGGUAGUCCACGCAGUAAACGAUGAUGGCUAACUGUCGGGCCUUAGGGUUCGGCGGCCAAGCGAAAGCGAUAAGCCAUCCACCUGGGGAGUACGACCGCAAGGUUGAAACUCAAAGGAAUUGACGGGGGCC
rnacentral:rRNA from 1 species